rnacentral:rRNA from 1 species
UAACUACGUGCCAGCAGCCGCGGUAAUACGUAGGGUGCAAGCGUUAUCCGGAAUUAUUGGGCGUAAAGGGCUCGUAGGCGGUUCGUCGCGUCCGGUGUGAAAGUCCAUCGCUUAACGGUGGAUCCGCGCCGGGUACGGGCGGGCUUGAGUGCGGUAGGGGAGACUGGAAUUCCCGGUGUAACGGUGGAAUGUGUAGAUAUCGGGAAGAACACCAAUGGCGAAGGCAGGUCUCUGGGCCGUUACUGACGCUGAGGAGCGAAAGCGUGGGGAGCGAACAGGAUUAGAUACCCUGGUAGUCCACGCCGUAAACGGUGGAUGCUGGAUGUGGGGCCCGUUCCACGGGUUCCGUGUCGGAGCUAACGCGUUAAGCAUCCCGCCUGGGGAGUACGGCCGCAAGGCUAAAACUCAAAGAAAUUGACGGGGGCCCGCACAAGCGGCGGAGCAUGCGGAUUAAUUCGAUGCAACGCGAAGAACCUUACCUGGGCUUGACAUGUUCCCGACGAUCCCAGAGAUGGGGUUUCCCUUCGGGGCGGGUUCACAGGUGGUGCAUGGUCGUCGUCAGCUCGUGUCGUGAGAUGUUGGGUUAAGUCCCGCAACGAGCGCAACCCUCGCCCCGUGUUGCCAGCGGAUUAUGCCGGGAACUCACGGGGGACCGCCGGGGUUAACUCGGAGGAAGGUGGGGAUGACGUCAGAUCAUCAUGCCCCUUACGUCCAGGGCUUCACGCAUGCUACAAUGGCCGGUACAACGGGAUGCGACAGUGCGAGCUGGAGCGGAUCCCUGAAAACCGGUCUCAGUUCGGAUCGCAGUCUGCAACUCGACUGCGUGAAGGCGGAGUCGCUAGUAAUCGCGAAUCAGCAACGUCGCGGUGAAUGCGUUCCCGGGCCUUGUACACACCGCCCGUCAAGUCAUGAAAGUGGGCAGCACCCGAAGCCGGUGGCCUAACCCCUUGCGGGAGGGAGCCGUCUAAGGUGAGGCUCGUGAUUGGGACUAAGUCGUAACAAGGUAGCCGUACCGGAAGGUGCGGCUG